rnacentral:sRNA from 1 species
CAGGCCUUUUCGUAAUCUUUGCUAUAUUACGGGGCGAAAAUUAUAUGUACGGACAUUGUUUUCGUAUAUUUUGCAUGUAUCAAAGCUCUUAUAAACAAGAUAGGGUAUUCCUACAUAGCUGGUGGGACUCACGGCAAAUCGAUCAUAAAGUCUUCAAAAAAGAAUAGAUACGAUUGCAUUGCAUGUAGUUACAGAUGUGAUCAUACCAGCACUAAUGCAUCAGAUCCCAUCAGAACUCUGCAAUUAAGCGUGCUUGGACGAGAGUAGUACUAGGAUGGGUGACCUCCAGGAAAGUCCUCGUGUGUCAUCCCUCUUUUUGUUUUGUUAAACAUGUAUGACUCUAUAACUUUAAGACCGUGAGGCCAAACUUGACAUGUGAUACCUUUUCGGAAAGCCCAAAGAGAGCUCUCCGAUGAAUGAGGAAGGAAAAUGGAAUUCUUCUAUUGGUUUUUUUUCUUACUCCAAAUUUUGAUUUUAAUGUACUUUUUCGAGCCUUUUCGUGAUUUUUGCUAUAUUACGGGCGAAAAUUAUAUGUUCGGACAUUGUUUUCGAAUAUUUUGCAUGUAUCAAAGCUCUUAUAAACAAGAUAAGGUAUUCCUACAUAGUUGGUGAA